GAUGAACGCUGGCGGCGUGCCUAAUACAUGCAAGUCGAGCGAACAGACGAGGAGCUUGCUCCUCUGACGUUAGCGGCGGACGGGUGAGUAACACGUGGAUAACCUACCUAUAAGACUGGGAUAACUUCGGGAAACCGGAGCUAAUACCGGAUAAUAUAUUGAACCGCAUGGUUCAAUAGUGAAAGACGGUUUUGCUGUCACUUAUAGAUGGAUCCGCGCCGCAUUAGCUAGUUGGUAAGGUAACGGCUUACCAAGGCAACGAUGCGUAGCCGACCUGAGAGGGUGGCAGACGGAAGGAGAGAGGCGACCGGGAUGGGAGAAGGGCGGAAGGAAGUAGUCGGGUAUAUUAAGGAAGGGCUGGAAUUCGGAAGGAGCAGUGCGGAGGGAGAGAAAAAGGUCUUGGGGUAGUAAAGCUCUGUGGUUAGAGAAAAACAAGUACCGAAGUAAAUGGAGUUACCGGGACGGUACUUAACGAGAAAGACAAGGAGAACUAGGUG
rnacentral:rRNA from 1 species